UUGAUAAAAUGUCGGACUGUUCUCUUCCAAAAAGUUGUACUUUUGAACUUUUUUUUAUGAUAUGUAAAUAAACAAACAUUCGUAAAAUUAUAUUUUUGCUCGCCCUUAAAAUAACCCCAUAUUCUAAUCUCAUAUCGUCUUAUAACAUUACAGAAAGCUUAUGCAUAACGAUUGCGAACAACCUAAUCUGGAAGAGCUUCCAUUAUUACAUUGGUCUGUUCUUCAAAUAUAAAGGAAUGGUA